rnacentral:rRNA from 1 species
GACGAACGCUGGCGGCGUGCUUAACACAUGCAAGUCGAGCGGUAAGGCCCUUUCGGGGGUACACGAGCGGCGAACGGGUGAGUAACACGUGGGUGACCUGCCCUCAGCUCUGGGAUAAGCCUGGGAAACCGGGUCUAAUACUGGAUAUGACUCCAUGACGCAUGUUGUGGGGUGGAAAGCCUUGUGCGGCUGAGGAUGGGCCCGCGGCCUAUCAGCUUGUUGGUGGGGNGAUGGCCUACCAAGGCGACGACGGGUAGCCGGCCUGAGAGGGCGACCGGCCACACUGGGACUGAGACACGGCCCAGACUCCUACGGGAGGCAGCAGUGGGGAAUAUUGGACAAUGGGCGAAAGCCUGAUCCAGCAACGCCGCGUGAGGGAUGACGGCCU